UGAGGAAUAUUGGUCAAUGGGGGCAACCCUGAACCAGCCAAGUCGCGUGAAGGAUGAAGGUCUUAUGGAUUGUAAACUUCUUUUAUACAGGAAUAAAUUGGGGGACGUGUCCCCUUUUGCAUGUACUGUAUGAAUAAGGAUCGGCUAACUCCGUGCCAGCAGCCGCGGUAAUACGGAGGAUCCGAGCGUUAUCCGGAUUUAUUGGGUUUAAAGGGUGCGCAGGCGGGAUGUUAAGUCGGCGGUGAAAUUUUGCAGCUCAACUGUAACAGUGCCUUCGAUACUGGCCUCCUUGAGUGUGGAUGAAGUAGGCGGAAUUUGUGGUGUAGCGGUGAAAUGCUUAGAUAUCACGAGGAACUCCGAUUGCGCAGGCAGCUUACUAAGCCACAACUGACGCUCAUGCACGAAGGCGUGGGGAUCAAACA
rnacentral:rRNA from 1 species